rnacentral:lncRNA from 1 species
UAACGAAUGAGGCCCACUUAUUUGUACACUUAUUUGUAUCAAAAUAAAUUCAAUAGCGUUUUACUGUUUCUUUCCUAUUUUUCUUCAUGUGUAAUCCCAUUUUACCCUUUUACCCUUUGCAAAACCAAUUGAAAUAAUUCCCAAAAAUCAAAACUUUUUACCCUAGCCGCCGCCGGACCGCCGACCACCGACCGUCCUUACUGCCACUCCUGGUUUGCCGACUUCCGUCUCAGCUUCUGCCGACCACGAACCGUAAGUAAUUUGCUAAUUUUCCUCCGACUGUCCAACAAGGUUACAAGAAACUCUUUCAACUUUGGGGUUUAUUUUUGUUAUUCAGAAA